GGUGCUGUGGCGCAGUGGGUUAACGCCCUGGCUUGAAGCGCCAGCAUCCCAUAUGGGCACUGGUUUGAGACCUGGCUGCUCCA
rfam:Oryctolagus cuniculus chromosome 9, whole genome shotgun sequence.